UCUACGUGAGGCAGCAGUGGGGAAUAUUGGACAAUGGGCGAAAGCCUGAUCCAGCCAUGCCGCGUGUGUGAAGAAGGCCUUCGGGUUGUAAAGCACUUUCAGUGGGGAAGAAAGCCUUGGGGCUAAUACCCUCGAGGAAGGACAUCACCCACAGAAGAAGCACCGGCUAACUCCGUGCCAGCAGCCGCGGUAAUACGGAGGGUGCGAGCGUUAAUCGGAAUUACUGGGCGUAAAGCGCGCGUAGGCGGUCUGAUAAGCCGGUUGUGAAAGCCCCGGGCUCAACCUGGGAACGGCAUCCGGAACUGUCAGGCUAGAGUGCAGGAGAGGAAGGUAGAAUUCCCGGUGUAGCGGUGAAAUGCGUAGAGAUCGGGAGGAAUACCAGUGGCGAAGGCGGCCUUCUGGACUGACACUGACGCUGAGGUGCGAAAGCGUGGGUAGCAAACAGGAUUAGAUACCCGAGUAGUC
rnacentral:rRNA from 1 species